UACGUCCCUGCCCUUUGUACACACCGCCCGUCGCUACUACCGAUUGAAUGGCUCAGUGAGGCCUCCGGACUGGCUCGAAGAGGUUGGCAACGACCACUUCGAGCCGGAAAGUUCGUCAAACUCGGUCAUUUAGAGGAAGUAAAAGUCGUAACAAGGUUUCCGUGGGUGAACCUGCGGAAGGAUCAUUACCUAGAGUUGUAGGCUUUGCCUACCAUCUCUUACCCAUGUCUUUUGAGUACCUUCGUUUCCUCGGCGGGUCCGCCCGCCGAUUGGACAAACUUAAACCCUUUGUAAUUGAAAUCAGCGUCUGAAAAAACAUAAUAGUUACAACUUUCAACAACGGAUCUCUUGGUUCUGGCAUCGAUGAAGAACGCAGCGAAAUGCGAUAAGUAGUGUGAAUUGCAGAAUUCAGUGAAUCAUCGAAUCUUUGAACGCACAUUGCGCCCCUUGGUAUUCCAUGGGGCAUGCCUGUUCGAGCGUCAUUUGUACCUUCAAGCUCUGCUUGGUGUUGGGUGUUUGUCUCGCCUUUGCGUGUAGACUCGCCUUAAAACAAUUGGCAGCCGGCGUAUUGAUUUCGGAGCGCAGUACAUCUCGCGCUUUGCACUCAUAACGACGACGUCCAAAAAGUACUUUUUACACUCUUGACCUCGGAUCAGGUAGGGAUACCCGCUGAACUUAAGCAUAUCAAUAAGCGGAGGAAAAGAAACCAACAGGGAUUGCCCUAGUAACGGCGAGUGAAGCGGCAACAGCUCAAAUUUGAAAUCUGGCGUCUUUGGCGUCCGAGUUGUAAUUUGCAGAGGGCGCUUUGGCAUUGGCAGCGGUCCAAGUUCCUUGGAACAGGACGUCA
rnacentral:rRNA from 1 species